UUUUUUUUUUUUUUCGGGGAGGGGGGGUGCUGCAAGUCUGCCGGGUCUGCAAAGGGUCUCUUUCCGGAUGCUAUUGCUCUCCCCCCUUUCCCCCCCCCCAGCCUAAGCUCGGCUUGGCACCUGCGAGGAGGAAGAGGAGGAGAGAAAGUCUGCUGCAGUCUUGGGUUUCAGGAGCAUGGUGGGAAAUGAAAUGGAGGCCAAGUCUGCUUGAAGCAUCUCCAAUCAACAGAAAUGUAAGCCAGAGCAACCUGCUGGAUGGUCUCCCUUAGUUUGGUCCCAAUUAGUCAGGAGGAACUCUUCCCAAUUUCAUAAUAAGCCUUACCUGGUGUGACCUGGAAUCAGAAACCAGAGUGUACACCUAGACAGAGUCCAACUUCCCCUGAAGGAAUUUUGGGAGUUGAAGUCCACCCAUUUUAAAGUUGUCAAGGUUGAGAAACACUGUUCUAACCAUAAAUCGCUAGAAAGCUUUCAAACAUUCAGCCAGAUUCUACUUUAAGGCAAUUUUUCUACUUCUGGAUCAUCUUCUAGGUGACAUCCCUUCAGAUUUUUGGAGAGUGCUAUCUUAUUCCCACUUCUUUUGAAGAAUGAACCUGCUCAGCUCCCUCACAGCAGUUACUUUCUAACCUGGUGACCACCCUGACUAAUGAUUUUUGUAACCAGCUGCAAUUUCUCUCAAAUGUUCUAAGGACAGUUUGAUCAAUUGAUCUUGGAAUUUUUUCCAGGCCAAAUGUAUGCCUCAGCCUUGGGUUAAAACUUUUUCACAUUUGGGACAUCGAUAUCCCACCUAUGACCACACUUGGAAUACUGCAUUUAGUUCUGGUCACCACGAUACAAAAAAAGAUGUUGGGACCCUAGAAAGAGUGCAAAGAAGAGCAACAAAGAUGACAAGAGGUCUAGAAGCUAAACUUUAUAAUGAACGAUUGAUGGAACUAGAGAAGAGAAGGACAAGGAGUGAUAUGAUAGCAGUUUUCCAGUACUUGAGGGGCCAUCACAGAAAACAGGGUCAACCUAUUCUCCAAAGACUUGAGGGCAGAAGAAGAAGUGACGGAUGGAAGAUCUUUAGAAGAGAGCCAACCUAGAAUUGAGGAGAAAUUUCCUGACGGAACAAUUAAUCAGUGGAAUGGCUUGCCUCCAGAAGUUGUGGAUGCUAAAAUUUCUCAAGAAAAGAUUGGACAGCCAUUUGUCCAGAAUGGCUUAAAGUCUCCUGCUUGAGCAGGGAGUUGAAGUAGAAGACCUCCACGUAGAUGCUUGUCUUUCCUUCCUGAAACUCAACUACUUCAUUCACACUUACACAUAUACAUGUACUCUGUCAAGUCCUUGAAAUGUUUCACUAACUCAAAAGAAAAGCAUAUUCUCAUCUGCUGCUUGAUGAUUUUGUGCAUCAUAAAUCCAGCCGAUAGAAAUGAUCCAAACGACAAGAAGAGAAUGCCUUAAAUCAGUGUCGUUAAAUAAAUGUGUCAAGUGAAUAGCAAUCCCUAGUUUAGUAAUUCAAGCCAUGGAGAUGGCCAAAAGAUGGUUGCCUUUUCUGCAAUGAAAUUCCUUCAGAUUUCAUAAAAAGUUGAUUCCAUCACCUUUCUGGAUGAUGCUAAAACUAUUUUGGAAUCCUUCCCACCUCACUGCUGAAGCAAAGAAUGUAAAAACAACAUCAGAUGACUACUUUGCUUGAAAAGUUGGGCUCUUCUAAAGUUCCAAUGAGUUCUCCUCCAGUUUUUUGGAUUCCAUCAAUAUAACUGGGACUGUAUUUAACGUAUAAAUAUUUCUAUUAAUAGUAAUAGUAGUAUCUGAACUAUAGAUUCCUAUGGAGACCACUUUGUGAAAAAAAGGAUUUUCAUAUACAAUCUACUCUUUGCACCUCAUAAUCAAGUUUGUGCAAAAGCACCCUAGAACACCCACAAGAAUUUUACUGAAAAGCUCUUCUCCUUUGAAAGAAUAUUCAAAAACAAAAUUUCUUUCUAGCGCUGAUGAUGUUACUUACUUGGACGAUAUGUUUGCAAGAAAACAACUAAGCUCAGAGAACACCAAGGAUCCCACAAAAUGUCUUAUAUUAAACUGAAAUAGUUAAGUAAAA